rnacentral:misc_RNA from 1 species
GAUGAAGAACGCAGUGAAAUGCGAUAAGUAAUGUGAAUUGCAGAAUUCAGUGAAUCAUCGAAUCUUUGAACGCACAUUGCGCCCGCCAGUAUUCUGGCGGGCAUGCCUGUUCGAGCGUCAUUACAACCCUCAGGCCCCCGGGCCUGGCGUUGGGGAUCGGCGGAAGCCCCCUGUGGGCACACGCCGUCCCUCAAAUACAGUGGCGGUCCCGCCGCAGCUUCCAUUGCGUAGUAGCUAACACCUCGCAACUGGAGAGCGGCGCGGCCAUGCCGUAAAACACCCAACUUCUGAAUGUUGACCUCGAAUCAGGUAGGAAUACCCGCUGAGCUUAAGCAUAUCAAUAAGCGGAGGA